rnacentral:rRNA from 1 species
UACGUAGGGUGCGAGCGUUGUCCGGAAUUAUUGGGCGUAAAGAGCUUGUAGGCGGUUUGUCGCGUCUGCUGUGAAAAUCCGGGGCUCAACCCCGGACUUGCAGUGGGUACGGGCAGACUAGAGUGUGGUAGGGGAGACUGGAAUUCCUGGUGUAGCGGUGAAAUGCGCAGAUAUCAGGAGGAACACCGAUGGUAAAGGCAGGUCUCUGGGCCACUACUGACGCUGAGAAGCGAAAGCAUGGGGAGCGAACAGGAUUAGAUAU